ACACCUCAACCUUCGUGGUUUGCCGCGAUUGGCUUGGACUUUGGAGGUUUUGCUGGCUCCGGUCGGCUCCUCUCAAAUGAAUCAGCUUACCAGCGUUUGGUGGCGUCGCGGGUGUGAUAACUAUCUACGCUCGUGGCCGCAUACCAUGCAACCUUCGGUGAUGAGGGUUCGCUGGGGCUCAUAAAUGUCUCUCCUCAGUGAGGACAGCUCUUUGAAC
rnacentral:misc_RNA from 1 species